CCUACGGGGGGCUGCAGUGGGGAAUAUUGGUCAAUGGGCGGAAGCCUGAACCAGCCAUGCCGCGUGCAGGAUGAAUGCCCUAUGGGUUGUAAACUGCUUUUAUAUGGGGAGAAAUGAUUUGAUUUAUCGAAUUUUGACGGUACCAUAAGAAUAAGGAUCGGCUAACUACGUGCCAGCAGCCGCGGUAAUACGUAGGAUCCGAGCGUUGUCCGGAUUUAUUGGGUUUAAAGGGUGCGUAGGCGGAAAGAUAAGUCAGUGGUGAAAGCCGGUCGCUCAACGAUCGAAUUGCCAUUGAUACUGUUUUUCUAGAAUACGGUUGAGGUAGGCGGAAUGUGUAGUGUAGCGGUGAAAUGCAUAGAUAUUACACAGAACUCCGAUUGCGAAGGCAGCUUACUAAGCCGUUAUUGACGCUGAGGCACGAAAGCGUGGGGAUCAAACAGGAUUAGAUACCCUAGUAGUC
rnacentral:rRNA from 1 species